UACGGAGGGGGCGAGCGUUAUUCGGAAUUAUUGGGCGUAAAGGGCGCGUAGGCGGCUUGAUGUGUCAAAGGUGAAAUCCCUCGGCUCAACUGAGGAACUGCCUUUGAAACUGUCUGGCUUGAGGCCGGGAGAGGGUAGCGGAAUUCCCGAGUGUAGCGGUGAAAUGCGUAGAUACUGGGAGGAACACCGGUGGCGAAGGCGGCUACCUGGACCGGUUCUGACGCUGAUGCGCGAAAGCGUGGGUAGCAACAGG
rnacentral:rRNA from 1 species